AUUGAACGCUGGUGGCGUGCCUUACACAUGCAAGUCGAACGGCAGCACGGGUGCUUGCACCUGGUGGCGAGUGGCGAACGGGUGAGUAAUACAUCGGAACGUACCUUAUCGUGGGGGAUAACGCAGCGAAAGUUGCGCUAAUACCGCAUACGCCCUGAGGGGGAAAGCGGGGGACCGUAAGGCCUCGCGCGAUUAGAGCGGCCGAUGUCUGAUUAGCUUGUUGGUGAGGUAAAAGCUCACCAAGGCGAUAAUCCGUAGCCGGUCUGAGAGGACGAUCAGCCACGGUGGGGCUGAGACAAGGCACAGACUCCUACGGGGGGCAGCAGAGGGGAAUUUUGGACAAGGGUGGCAAACCUGAUCCAGCAAUGCGGCGUGAGUGAAGAAGGCCUUCGGGUUGUAAAGCUCUUUUGUCAGGGAAGAAACAGCAGCUCUAACACAGUCUGCGAAUGAAGGUACCUGAAGAAUAAGCACCGGCUAACUACGUGCCAGCCGCCGCCGUAA
rnacentral:rRNA from 1 species